rnacentral:rRNA from 1 species
GACGAACGCUGGCGGCGUGCUUAACACAUGCAAGUCGAACGGAAAGGCCCUGCGUUUGUGGGGUGCUCGAGUGGCGAACGGGUGAGUGACACGUGAGUGACCUGCCCUUGGCUUUGGGGUAACUUCAGGAAACUGGGGAUCAUACCGGAUAGAAGAUCCUGCUGCAUGGUGUGGGUUGGAAAGUUUCGGCGGUUGGGGAUGAACUCGCGGUUUAUCAGCUUGUUGGUGGGGUAGUGGCUUACCAAGGCUUUGACGGGUAGCCGGCCUGAGAGGGUGACCGGCCACAGUGGGCUUGAGAUAGGGCCCAGAGUCCUACGGGAGGAAGCAGUGGGGAAUAUUGCACAAUGGGCGGAAGCAGGAUGCAGCAACGCCGCGUGCGGGAUGACGGUUUUCGGGUUGUAACCCGCUUGAGCCUGUGACGAAGCGUGAGUGACGGUAACGGGUAAAGAAGCACCGGCUAACUACGUG